rnacentral:rRNA from 1 species
AUUGAACGCUGGCGGCAGGCUUAACACAUGCAAGUCGAACGAGUGGCGGACGGGUGAGUAAUGUUUGGGAAUCUGGCUGCUAGAGGGGGAUAACUACGGGAAACGGUAGCUAAUACCGCAUACUAUCGGAUGAACCCAAAUGGGAUUAGGUAGUUGGUGAGGUAAAGGCUCACCAAGGCGACGAUCUCUAGCUGGUCUGAGAGGAUGACCAGCCACACUGUGACUGAGACACGGCCCAUACUACUACGGUAGGCAGCAGUGGGGAAUAUUGAGCAAUGGGGGCAAUCCUGAUACAGCCAUGCCGCGUGAAUGAAGAAGGCCUUAGGGUUGUAAAGUACUUUCAGCGGGGAGGCGUUACCCGCAGAAGAAGCACCGGCUAACUCCGUGCCAGCAGCCGCGGUAAUAC